rnacentral:rRNA from 1 species
GACGAACGCUGGCGGCGUGCUUAACACAUGCAAGUCGAACGGAAAGGCCCUGCUUUUGUGGGGUGCUCGAGUGGCGAACGGGUGAGUAACACGUGAGUAACCUGCCCUUGACUUUGGGAUAACUUCAGGAAACUGGGGCUAAUACCGGAUAGGAGCUCCUGCUGCAUGGUGGGGGUUGGAAAGUUUCGGCGGUUGGGGAUGGACUCGCGGCUUAUCAGCUUGUUGGUGGGGUAGUGGCUUACCAAGGCUUUGACGGGUAGCCGGCCUGAGAGGGUGACCGGCGACAUGGGGACCGAGAUACGUCUGAGACUGGUACGGUGGGCAGCAGGGUGGAAUAGGGCGCUAUGGGAGGAAGGCGUGUGCGUCUACGCCGCGUGGAGGAUGACGGCGUUCGGGGUGUAAGCGGCUUAGGCCUGUGACGAACCGUGAGGGGUGGUAGUGGAUAGAGAAGCGCCGGCUAGGUACUGG